AACGAACGCUGGCGGCAGGCUUAACACAUGCAAGUCGAACGCCCCGCAAGGGGAGUGGCGAACGGGUGAGUAACGCGUGGGAACCUACCCAGCAGUUGGGGAUAACCGCGGGAAACUGCGGCUAAUACCGAAUACGUCCUUUGGGAGAAAGAUUUAUCGCUGUUGGAGGGGCCCGCGUCGGAUUAGCUAGUUGGUGAGGUAACGGCCCACCAAGGCGACGAUCCGUAGCUGGUCUGAGGGGAUGAUCAGCCACACUGGGACUUAGACACGGCCCAGACUCCUACGGGAGGCAGCAGUGGGGAAUAUUGGACAAUGGGGGCAACCCUGAUCCAGCAAUGCCGCGUGAGUGAUGAAGGCCUUAGGGUUGUAAAGCUCUUUUACCGGGGACGAUGAUGACGGUACCCGGAGAAUAAGCCCCGGCUAACUUCGUGCCAGCCGCCGCCGUAAUAC
rnacentral:rRNA from 1 species